rnacentral:rRNA from 1 species
GACGGAGGGUGCUAGCGUUGUUCGGAAUCACUGGGCGUAAAGGGCGCGUAGGCGGCCUUGCAAGUCGGUUGGUGAAAGCCCGGGGCUCAACCCCGGAGGUGCGGCCGAGACUGCAGGGCUGGAGGCCGGAAGAGGAGGGUGGAAUACCCAGUGUAGAGGUGAAAUUCGUAGAUAUUGGGUGGAACACCGGUGGCGAAAGCGGCUCUCUGGUCCGGACCUGACGCUGAGGCGCGAAAGCAUGGGGAGCAAACAGG